UACGAAGGGGGAGCUAGCGUUGCUCGGAAUCACUGGGCGUAAAGGGUGCGUAGGCGGGUCUUUAAGUCAGGGGUGAAAUCCUGGAGCUCAACUCCAGAACUGCCUUUGAUACUGAGGAUCUUGAGUUCGGGAGAGGUGAGUGGAACUGCGAGUGUAGAGGUGAAAUUCGUAGAUAUUCGCAAGAACACCAGUGGCGAAGGCGGCUCACUGGCCCGAUACUGACGCUGAGGCGCGAAAGCUAGGGGAGCAAACAGG
rnacentral:rRNA from 1 species